UACGGAAGGCAGCAGUGGGGAAUAUUGCACAAUGGGCGAAAGCCUGAUGCAGCUAUGCCGCGUGUAUGAAGAAGGCCUUAGGGUUGUAAAGUACUUUCAUCGGGGAGGAAAAACAAAACUAAUAAUUUUAUUUCUUGACGUUACCCGAAAAAGAAGCACCGGCUAACUCCGUGCCAGCAGCCGCGGUAAUACGGAGGGUGCUAGCGUUAAUCAGAAUUACUGGGCGUAAAGAGCACGUAGGUGGUUUUUUAAGUCAGAUGUGAAAUCCCUGGGCUUAACCUAGGAACUGCAUUUUGAAACUGAAAUACUAGAGUAUCGUAGAGGGAGGUAGAAUUCUAGGUGUAGCGGUGAAAAUGCGUAGAUAUCUGGAGGAAUACCUGUGGCGAAAAGCGGCCUCCUAAAACGAAAUACUGACACUGAGGGUGCG
rnacentral:rRNA from 1 species